rnacentral:rRNA from 1 species
CAUGCAGGCGGUCGGACGCGUUUUGUGUGACAGCGGGUGGCUUAACUACCCGAGUAUGCGAAAGACGGUCUGACUUGAGGGCUCGAGAGGGACACGGAAUUCCGGGUGGAGUGGUGAAAUGCGUAGAGAUCCGGAGGAACACCGAAGGCGAAGGCAGUGUCCUGGCGAGUGACUGACGCUGAGGUGCGAAAGCUAGGGGAGCGAACGGGAUUAGAUACCCCGGUAGUCCUAGCCGUAAACGAUGACCACCAGGUGUGGGAGGUAUCGACCCCUUCCGUGCCGGAGGAAACCCACUAAGUGGUCCGCCUGGGAGUACGGUCGCAAGAUUAAA